rnacentral:snRNA from 2 species
UUGAAAAAGAUUUCUAGAAAUACAAUUAAUGUUCAUCUAGAUAUUGUACGAAGUUGUAUGAAUAAGUUAAACUUAAGUUGAAUCAAUUUAAAUGUUCAAGGAGGUUAACAAAUGGUUUUUAAUGAUUGGGAAAUUAACGUUGUAUACUCAGGAGAGCAUGAGGUUGUAACAAACGAAAAGAGUUUAUUUGUCAUUGACGAAUUUUACGAUGUUGCAAUCGCAAUCUAUUAUUUAGAUGGAAAAUUAAAAGUAGCUCAUGUCAACUAUGGUUCUGAUUUUACAAUUGACGUAGCUAAUAAAGUUUUUGAAUUGAAUAUUCAAAAUCCAAAUGUUGAUGAGCAUUAAAUAUUAAAAAGCAUUUAGAAUCAUAAAGAGCAUACUAUAUAUAGCCUUUUACAUGUAAAGCAAAUGAAAAUUAGAUAAUCUAAUUAUUUCAACAUUAAACAAUAUAUCAUUAUAAAGAAGUUUUUAAAAUAGAAGUAUAAGGUGGUGAACAAAAAUUAACAUUGUGUAUAACAUUAUAGUAUAUAUAGCAUGCAUGAUUAAUUUCGGAUUAAUUAUAGUCCCAUUAUUAACAACAAAUGAUGCGGAUUUUGUAUGGACUUCUUCAUCAUUAAUAUAUAUGAUUCUUCUUACGUCGAUUAUCCUAAUAGUUUAUAUUAAAACUAAAGAUAGCUUACAGUUAACGAUAUUUAUACUUAAUAUAGCCUUAAUUAUUCUAUACUGUGCACCAUUACUAUUCAUUUAUGUAUUCUAGUGCUUCAUUAAUAUUUUAAUGCAUCAGUUUAAGUAAAUUCCAUUUGGAAAAUAAAAAGCAAAUAUCAUCAUCAAAUUAACAUAUUUAACGUUAUACUUUCAUAAAAUUUGAAACAAUUGAACAUCCUUACUUUAGCUUUAUAUCUUUAUUUCAAGUCAUGUUUUCAACUAUUUUAAUGAAUUAAACAUAUAUUAUAAGGAGUCAACAUCAUGAAUAAACAUAUAAAUAAAAAAGCCGCAAAACUACUUGAAGAUUAUAAAAAGGUUCAACAAAGAAAAUCGAAAGAAACUGAUAGAGGUUGUUUGAAAAGUGUCAUCAUGCUUAUCGUCUUAUUUUUCUUAAUUAUUUUUGGUAUUGUGGCAUGUUCUACAAACGUAAACUUUUUCUUCCAGUAAAAGAGUGAGAUAGAAAUGAUAAA